rnacentral:siRNA from 1 species
AGAAUUGGACUUGGUGUUAUCUAC